CCCUUAAAAGAGCCAAUUGGUUUUCCUUUUCAGGCUACACCCACCAAGACAAAGUUUGUGCACUUUCCUGAAUCCUUUCUCAUCAACUCCCCACCAUUCUUUGCACAGAUCAAAAAUGCUUCUGUGGCUAAUCUUGGUGUCCUUACUGGCAUUCCUCCAUGGUGCCAAGUCUCAACUCCAGUUGGUGGAGUCUGGAGGGGAUGUGAGAAGACCUGGGGAGUCCCUCCGUCUCUCCUGCCAAGCCUCUGGGUUCACCUUCAGUAGCUACUGGAUGAGCUGGGUUAGACAGGCUCCAGGGAAAGGACUGGAAUGGGUGGCCUUGAUAAUUGCUGGUUCAAGUACUUACUACUCAGACAAAGUCAAGGGCCGCUUCACCAUCUCCAGGGACAAUGCCAAAAGCCAGCUGUAUCUGCAGAUGAACAGCCUCAAAACAGAGGACACAGCAGUCUAUUACUGUGCAAGAGACACAGUGAGAGGAAGUAAAUCUGAAGCUAAACAAAAACCUUCAGAGCAGCUCUUCAACUUGAUUCAUCCUGGAUUGGCUAAUUAA